rnacentral:rRNA from 1 species
GAUGAACGCUGGCGGCGUGCCUAAUACAUGCAAGUCGAGCGAACGGACGAGAAGCUUGCUUUUCUGAUGUUAGCGGCGGACGGGUGAGUAACACGUGGAUAACCUACCUAUAAGACUGGGAUAACUUCGGGAAACCGGAGCUAAUACUGGAUCAUAUUUUGAACCGCAUGGUUCAAAAGUGAAAGACGGUCUUGCUGUCACUUAUAGCUGGAUCCGCGCUGCAUUAGCUAGUUGGUAAGGUAACGGCUUACCAAGGCAACGAUGCAUAGCCGACCUGAGAGGGUGAUCGGCCACACUGGAACUGAGACACGGUCCAGACUCCUACGGGAGGCAGCAGUAGGGAAUCUUCGGCAAUGGGCGAAAGCCUGACGCAGCAACGCCGCGUGAGUGAUGAAGGUCUUCGGAUCGUAAAACUCUGUUAUUAGGGAAGAACAUAUGUGUGAGUAACUGUGCACAUCUUGACGGUACCUAAUGAGAAAGCAACGGCUAACUACGUG